rnacentral:rRNA from 1 species
AUUGAACGCUGGCGGCAGGCUUAACACAUGCAAGUCGAGCGGGGUGAUGGUGCUUGCACUAUCACUUAGCGGCGGACGGGUGAGUAAUGCUUAGGAAUCUGCCUAUUAGUGGGGGACAACAUCUCGAAGGGGAUGCUAAUACCGCAUACGUCCUACGGGAGAAAGCAGGGGAUCACUUGUGACCUUGCGCUAAUAGAUGAGCCUAAGUCGGAUUAGCUAGUUGGUGGGGUAAAGGCCUACCAAGGCGACGAUCUGUAGCGGGUCUGAGAGGAUGAUCCGCCACACUGGGACUGAGACACGGCCCAGACUCCUACGGAAGGCAGCAGUGGGGAAUAUUGGACAAUGGGGGGAACCCUGAUCCAGCCAUGCCGCGUGUGUGAAGAAGGCCUUAUGGUUGUAAAGCACUUUAAGCGAGGAGGAGGCUCUUUUGGUUAAUACCCAAGGUGAGUGGACGUUACUCGCAGAAUAAGCACCGGCUAACUCUGUGCCAGCAGCCGCCGUAA